rnacentral:rRNA from 1 species
UGCACGGCUAGAGUGUGUCAGAGGGGGGUAGAAUUCACGUGUAGCAGUGAAAUGCGUAGAUAUGUGGAGGAAUACCGAUGGCGAAGGCAGCCCCCUGGGAUAACACUGACGCUCAGGCACGAAAGCGUGGGGAGCAAACAGGAUUAGAUCCCCUGGUAGUCCACGCCCUUAACGAUGUCAACUAGUUGUCGGGUCUUAAUUGACUUGGUAACGCAGCUAACGCGUGAACUUGACCGCCUGGGGAGUACGGUGGCAAGAUUAAAACUCAAAGGAAUUGACGGGGACCCGCACAAGCGGUGGAUGAUGUGGAUUAAUUCGAUGCAACGCGAAAAACCUUACCUACCCUUGACAUGUCAGGAACCCCGCUGAGAGGUGGGGGUGCUCGAAAGAGAACCUGCACACAGGUGCUGCAUGGCUGUCGUCAGCUCGUGUCGUGAGAUGUUGGGUUAAGUCCCGCAACGAGCGCAACCCUUGUCAUUAGUUGCUACGAAAGAGCACUCUAAUGAGACUGCCGGUGACAAACCGGAGGAAGGUGGGGAUGACGUCAAGUCCUCAUGGCCCUUAUGGGUAGGGCUUCACACGUCAUACAAUGGUACAUACAGAGGGCCGCCAACCCGCGAGGGGGAGCCAAUCCCAGAAACCUCUUCUCAGUCCGGAUCGGAGUCUGCAACUCGACUCCGUGAAGUCGGAAUCGCUAGUAAUCGCAGAUCAGCAUUGCUGCGGUGAAUACGUUCCCGGGCCUUGUACACACCGCCCGUCACACCAUGGGAGUUUGUUGCACCAGAA